GUUUGUUUCUGAGACUGAUACACCUGAUCUCAUCUGAUCUGCAAAGCUAAGCAGGGUUGGGCCUGGUUAGUAUUUGGAUGGGAGACUACCUGGGAAUACCAGGUGCUGUAAGCU
rnacentral:rRNA from 1 species